rnacentral:rRNA from 1 species
GUCAUCAGCUCGCGUUGACUACGUCCCUGCCCUUUGUACACACCGCCCGUCGCUCCUACCGAUUGAAUGGUCCGGUGAAGUGUUCGGAUCGCGGCGACGGGGGCGGUUCGCCGCCCCCGACGUCGCGAGAAGUCCAUUGAACCUUAUCAUUUAGAGGAAGGAGAAGUCGUAACAAGGUUUCCGUAGGUGAACCUGCGGAAGGAUCAUUG